rnacentral:pre_miRNA from 1 species
GCUGACUUGAGCUGUUCGUACAAAACUCAAAUCAAUGUUUUGUUCGUUCGGCUCGAGUUAGGG